rnacentral:rRNA from 1 species
UACGUAGGGUGCAAGCGUUAAUCGGAAUUACUGGGCGUAAAGCGCGCGUAGGCGGCUUUGCAAGUCGAUUGUGAAAUCCCCAGGCUUAACCUGGGAACUGCAUUCGAGACUGCAUAGCUAGAGUAUGGGAGAGGGAAGUGGAAUUUCAGGUGUAGCGGUGAAAUGCGUAGAUAUCUGAAGGAACAUCAGUGGCGAAAGCGACUUCCUGGACCAAUACUGACGCUCAUGUGCGAAAAGCGUGGGGAGCAAACAGG